rnacentral:tRNA from 1 species
GCCUCAUUGGCUCAGGGCAGGGUGUCCGUCUAGUAAACAGAAGGUUGCUUGUUCGAUUCCAGCAUGAGGCA